AUGGAUAGUGUGGACGUACCAGGAGAGGACUUCAUCCCUCUGACUGUUCUGCGCACCACAAUACCUCCUCACACCCCUGCCAGCUACCGAACUACUAUUCCUGGUUACACUGGAAAAGCCCGGUUUGACAGACCACAGACCUCAGGUGUCAGUCUGCCUUCUUUACCAUAUACUCCACAAACAGCAGGCUCUUCAACACUCUCCAGCAUGUGGCUCUGACUGGAGGUGUGUGAACAGUGUCUUACAGCAUCACUUAGUAGAACCCACCAUGAUGUGUAUGGCUGAACAAAGUUCAGGUCAUCUUAUAAAGCAG
rnacentral:lncRNA from 1 species